CUGGGGCAUGUGAACCCCACCCCAGCUGCUCGGGACCCCGGUGGUCCAAGGCGAUCUGCGUGGCCUGGGCAGCCACGGGGUGGGCGUGACAGAGAGGGAGAGCGCUUCUGGGGAGGGGGCACAGACCUUCGUGUUUAGGUCUCCCAAAUUCAGGGCACAGCUCUUGACCAGCUCCUUUUUCCUGGCUCACGGGGCAUGACCCGUGGGUGAGUGAGUGACCCCCAGGAGGCGGGAAGUCAUUCCCUGCAGGCAGCUGGAGGGGGGACUCCAGUGCAGACCCCGCCCUGGGGUAUGAGUUCCCCACCAGCUCGUGACCUUGGGAGGCCUCGCUGCCCUCCUGGGUCGCUGUAGGACUCAGAUGGGGAGAUGCCCACGCCGCCCUGGCACAGCGUGUCCACCGUAAGCACCCGGAGCCAGUCAGACGCACGUCCUGCACAGAAGACACGGGUGAACGCUCAGCCUCGUCACAACCCACAGACUCACAGCAGAAGGGAGCGCGAAAUGUUAAUUCAGCCCUGAGAAAAGCAUCUGCGUUUCACAAGGGCCCACCUCGCGCCCCGUCUCCCACCCACCAUGCUCGCCGCGCCACACAGCCGGCCUUUGCCCUCGGAGGUCGGUGUCACUGGGUUUUCUGUCUUUGGGACUCUGCUCCGGGAGCACUCUGGUGGUGGGACCCCUGCAGCCAGAGUCCCAGACACGAUGGAGCAGCAUUCAGCCACCCGCCAGCGGACGGGGCAGACGACCUCCAGGGGCAGGAGGCAGAGAGCAUCCUGCCCAGGGCUGAGGGCUUAGCACUCACCCAGGGCUCCUUUAUGUCAGCUGUGGGCGUUGAGUAGACGUGGCUCCCGAUUAUUGAGGGCGCGUGGACGCGGGAGACCUCCCCCAAGGCUGCUGCUCAGAGACCCCGUGGCCAGAGCCAGGCCCGCCCAGCCUCCACCGCCCGCUCCGUAAUGGGAUCGGGAUUAAAUUGGGAGACUUCUAAGA